CUCAACAGGAAGCACACCAUUUCUACUUGGUACAAAGUUGCCGUUGACAGUUUGAUGAAAAAGUGUGUAUUCGCAUAAAUUUCAGAUCAUAUGCUAAUCUUUUUCUAAGUGUGCAAAAAUCACCAGCAGUUCAAAACAGAUCCUUGUGCCUUGCAUAGCCGUACCUGGAUGAGUUUCUUACACAUCUCACCACUCAUCUGGUAACUGUGAGUCGGUGUGCGGUCUUUGAGACGUUGGUGUGUUGUUUUAAUAAUAAAAAAGAUAGAUCUACUAGCUGACCCCUGGAGAUUUAAGAUAAGAGUCUUGGAUGCAACAUCGGAGGGUACACUGGAGACCAAAUGACAGCAGGAUGGCUGUUACUUUUCAUAUUUGUGUCUAUAGGAACCAGACAAUCCUUCCUAGUAAAACCAGAAAAAGGGUCUGCCUCACACAUCUAAAAAGCGAAGCAAGACAGAAAGGGAGACAAAGUUGAAAUACACCAAAUUAUAGUCGACAUGAGAGAGUGUUCCGCUCGGCUUCCCAGGCUCCACAUGCAAUCAGGAUCGGUGCUUCCCCAGUGGCUUCAGGUGGAUGGGCAAGAGGACAGGGGACAGGGGGCCUUACAAAGCCUCCCUUCUCCAACACCACUCUAAUUAGGCUUUGACGAGGAACAACACAGGAGCCUGCAGACGAACGUGCACAGACACACACACACACACCCAAUACAGCAAUCCCAUGCCUCGUUGGAGUUGUUAAGUAAUUGAAUUGGUGCAAGUGCCACAACAUUGACUUUAUAUUGCCACAGGACUCAAUAUUUACAAUUCAUAGUUGAUCAUUGGAGCAAGGAUUCAAUUCUGCCUUUUGGUAGUUGUAUGAAUAAAUAAAGUGACGUUUUA